ACGAAACCAAACUCCGCUCCUCGGCCCUCCCGCUGCCGUUGCGGCAUUUCCCCAAACACCUCACGUGCGACCACCCUGCCGUCGCCUCCUCCUCCGCGUCGGAUUCCUAGAACAACUUCCCCGCCACGCUCCGCGAUGGUCAAACCCGCCGCUGGCGCUGGCGCUGCAGCCGACAUGCGGACGGAGGCGAAGGCGGCGGUGAUGCUCGACCGCGACGGCCACCACGACGAGGCGCUCGCGCACGUCCACGAGCUCGCGGCCGGGCACCCCGGAUCUUCCGUCGUGCUCUUCGCCGCGGCCCUCGUCCACCAAGCCAACGCUCAGCGUGCUAAAAGGGCGGCCGAUAAGGAGGCCGCGGUGCACCACCUCGUCAGCGCGGAGCUUUACGUCACCGAGGCCAAGCGGCUCGUCCCCAACUGCAUCGAUAUCUCCGCCCUCCUGGCCAGGGUGCUGUUCGAGGAGUCGAAGCACGAUGAGGCGGACGCUGCGAUCCAGCGAGCCAUCGAAAUACCCUCGCCCAUCGACCCGGCUGAGAACAACGUCAUGAUCGACGAGGACGCGCGCGCGAACACCACCAAUGACCAGCGGGUGGAGAAUUCAAGGGAAAUGGCUCGCCAGAGCUUCCGAGCCAUGCGGCAAUGGAUGUGCGAUCGCCAUGUCCCGCUCGUCAUCAACAAGGUACUCGAAGUCGAGCUCGACGCCGACGAUCGCAAGGGGGCGGCACAGGCGCUCAAGACGGCAAAUGAUCUCGCAAAGCGUUGCCAUUACUCGGCACGCGCGCAGUUGUUCCGGGCAUACAUGAAGCUCAAUUUCGUGCGUGGCCUUGACGCGACCAUGGACAGGAGGCCCUUUCUGGAUUGCAUCCGCGGCGAGGUGACCGAAGCGGUAAACCGCUUCAGUGCCUCGAUCGUGCUCAGCAUGUUCCGUGCCAAGCUCUGUUUCGUCCUGGGUUUCUAUGAGGAUGCGUACCUUGAGUUCCUUCGGGCGGUUUUUACUAUAGAGCAGCCUGUUGACCCCAAGUUGGAGGACGUGCCUCCUGGAUCUGUCAUUGGCCAGGAGCGUGCUGAUAGGUUAUCUUCUAUCAACAAAGAAUUCGCAAACCUAAUACGGAGACUCUUGUGGGUGGCCAAGGUUUGCUGGGACUCCAUGACAAGCGAGGAGCAGGACGGCUUCCUAUCAGUGAGACUUGUUGAGCUGCAAAAGUACUGUGAUGACGUUUCUGAAAAUAGCCACUGGGCUGCAAGGACCAUAUCUGAUGCACUAAGCUUUGUGAACAAAACCAGGUCAUGGAGGUUCUGGAUUUGCCCCUAUUGUGUUGGAAAGAAGUUACCAGAUACAGGUUCCCUCUGGCGACACAUGUGUAGCAAGCACCCAGCAGAGAAAGACCUACUGAUGCUGCAGACAGUCUUAGAUCCAAACCAGAAUCACGAUACAUCUGUGAAUGAUAAUUCUUCUGAUUUUAUAACAGUUUGUCAAGACUCUGAGGACAAUUACUUCUUCUGUUUCAAGAAGACGGAUCAGAUAUUUGAACUCUUGUUUAUUCCACCAUCUACAGUAACUCAAGCUGUACCAUUUGCUGAAAUACGAGAGAAGAAAUGCAAAGAAGGAUCCGAGAUCCUUGAAAAGAUGAAGCAGAAGUUGAAGAAUUUACCCACAGACAAAAUAAGCGCCGAGUUUGAUAAGGCUCGUUGUAAAAUCCAAGACUUGUGGUGUGAUUUCCUUUCAACUUCUGUAUUGGAUUAUCACGCAGUCAUGUUGCCCCUUGCGGAAUCAUUCAUAUGGACUAAACUGAUAAAAUACACAAGUGAAGAUAAAGCUUCCAGUAAGAGUAUUGACAAUUCUGAUAUUGACACCGUGUUCCCGGAUGUUGUUCAUGCCCCUGGCAGCGAAAUGAUGCUGGAAUACAUGUGCAAAUACCUGGAUGGAAACAAAAACCAUGAAUGUGGCGAUGACCAAGAUACAGAAGACAUGAAGCCUGCAGGCUUUGACAAGACAAUUGUGGAUGAUGAAAAAACUGAAGAAAGUGAGGCUCUUGUUGAAGAUGGGAAUUCCGGGACCAUGCUAGAUAAAAAAUCAUCAGAUCCAAUAGUUGACACGGAAGAAAUUGAUGUAUCGAAGCUAGCUGCAAGAAUCGCAAAUGUGGAAAUAGAUAAGAAAGGAACUUCUGGGCAAUCUUCUGGGGAAAUGGCAAGCAGCUCCAGCUGUCAGCCAAGCGUUAAAAUUUACGAAAAUAACAAUGCUAACAAAGUCCUGUUUAGCUUGCGUGUAAUCAUACAGUCAUUGUGCAAUUUGAAGAAUUUCAGAGAUAAACUUCUAACCGAGGAACUUAAAUGGAAUCCAUAUAGUGAGAACCCUUGCAUUGCUGACAUACUUUGUGGAAUCUUCUUUGCUUGGGAACGAUAUGAACCUUACCCGACAUUCGAUAUUCUGACUUCUGUGAAGAACAUUCUAUGCAGACUUGCAAAUGACAGCAGUAUAUACGAAAAGGUUGGUGAAAGUUUUGCUUCCAAGACUGUCAUAACAAUUCUAAUUGAGUUGCAUAUGUUAGAAACUUCUUUGAGUUUUAGUUCCAACACUGGGAGUGAGCGAAAUGUAGUAAACCCGAUCACGUGUGGAGAUUGUAUAUGCCCAACACAUAGUCUUUUCGGGAUCAAUUUCGAUGCGCAAAUGAGCUGCAGUUGUGGGGAGCGUUCUGACAAUUAUCUGUAUACAACGCUUUUCCAUAUGCUUGAUGCUGGUUCACCUCAAACAACAAAGAUCAAGUCGUUUGCAGAGCUUCAGUAUAUAUUGGAUGUUCAAUUCUCUGUGGGCAACACCUGCAAGCAUUGUGGAACUAUAGAGAAUGUUGGUCUCUUUCUUUUAAACACGCCACAUUGCUUUACAAUAGUUUUGAACUGGGCGAGUGGCAGUGAAAGCCAGGACACUCUCUCCGAAGUGCUGGCUGGUAUUAGUUCUCCGCUCGACGCUGAAUUCUUUUGCAGAAGUAGUCAUUCUGCAACUAAGUAUAUUGUGGCCUCAAUGGUAUGUGCACAACAAAUCUUUCUUUUCUCCAGAAUUCAGUUACUAAAAGAACUGGACAAAAUAUUUCGAUCGUUUAAUUCUGAUGUUAAUGUAAUCCCAAAAGGAGGAGAAAACAAUGAGCUAAUUUGGUAUUGGUUGAUAUACAUUGUCCUCAGAGUUUAUAUGUUCGAUGCUAUUUGUCACUUCUUCCUGGGCUGGUGCUGGAUGCUACCUUAAUUUUGAGACGCGUGUGAUGCAUCUUAAUUAUCAGCAUAGAUGUUGGAUUAUACUCGCAAGCUGACAGCCAGUUGGUAUUACUGUUAGACUGAAGGGAGGCUCCUGUUUUUCUAGAAUAAAAAUGGAAUACGGUAAUAUCUGAGUUGGUCAUAUAAUACUUGGGGAGAUAUUUGCGAGUUGUCAAAUGGUCCUAUCUGUGACAUAUGUUGUCCUGUCUACUUCACUGGUAUAAAAUGCAUGGAGGAUUGAAGAAUUCUGGAGAUAAUCGAUAGCUUGUGUGAUCCUGGUGUUGCUGAACUUUUUCUUCAAAUGUUCCGUUGACUGAAAAUGGGAAAAAUAUGAUAGGUAGGUAACCUGGGCGGACCUUGUAACCUCUGAUUCUCUCUCAACUAUAACUUUUUGCGAUAUUCUCUUCCUGUCAUAUGAUCUUAUCUAAUAGGGUAUCACAUGGUGAGGUUGGAGAUCAUAAACUGGAGUAAAUUCUGCACACCUUUUUCUCUAUAUGUUUUAUGGGAUCCCAUGUUUUAAUGAAGUAACUCUAUAGCUGUUUUAAGUGUUACUGCAGCCUGCAGGCCUAUCGCAAUGUUGGUCGAAUGCUCCAGCUACAUAAUUUCCUGCAUAUGCAUAUGCCAUAGUCAUGCCUUGCAAAUAUAAUGUACUUGCAAGAUUCCAUCUUAUGCCUGCUUGCAAUCUAAACGUUGUAGAUCUGCUAUGCCGAUGAGCGCUACGUCUGCUUUGCUCGUGACGAAAGCAAUUGGCUCAUAUACGACUCUGAGACAGUUGAGAAAAUAGAUACUUGGGAGCAUUUGCUAGAAAGUUUCAAGGACUGCAAGCUCCAGCCUGAAGUUCUGUU